rnacentral:lncRNA from 1 species
CCUUUUAGUUGUACUAGUUUCAAGCUUUUAGUGAUAGAGAUUUAUUACUAAAACAAAAAGAAUCUAUAGAGUGUUAUUUAUCUUUGAAAUGGACUUUGCAUAUUUCACUUUAAAUUGCUAUGUUCACAUGAACAACUUCCUAAAUUGCUUAUUCAUGUGAAGAAAAAGUGUUUGGAGCUUUCUAUAUUUUAUGUAAAUUGUAUCGUUUUUUUUUUUUUUUUUUUGUGCUUGAUUUAUAAAAAUUAAAUUAAAAUUUCAAUAGAAUUAGUUAGUCACUUAAAACACUUGAAUUAGUUGAUUCAUUUUUGUUAGGCGAUACUUCAAAAUCAUAACUCUAUCUCCUUCUAUAAAACUAAAAAAUGAUUACUUGUAUAAUUUGAAGAUUAAAAUUAUUUUUUAAAAAUAUGAGAAGUUUAUAUAAGUACAUGGCAGGAGCAUUCUCAAAAAAAUCAUAGAUAGAAUUUGGGAGGUGCCUUGAAUAAUUUUUUUUUUUUUUUUUUUACCCUUCCCUAGGAGCUCCCACCCUUUUGCUCCCUUGAUGACUUGAACUCGCAAUCUUCGAGUUGGAAAUGGGAGGUGCCUUGAAUAAUUAGCAUGAAUAUAAACAGGAUUAAGCAAGUAAUAAUGUAGUGCAGGUGAAGCACACUCUCAAAGAAGGAAAUUAAUUUGCUGAUUUUUUUUAUCAACUUUAUUUUUAAUUUUGUAGGUACAAAAAUUCUAUAAUUUAACUCAAUACAAGAUGUUUCAUCACAAGAAAGAACAAUAGUAAAAUUGAAAAAGAAAAAACAAUGAUGAAUCUAAGAAUAGGGAAGUGCCAAAAUAAGUAUUUCACUACACAAAGAGACAAUCAAACACAUGAUUCAACACAAUCACAAGUGGAUACAAAAUUACAAUUAUAUCUAGGAGGAAAAAUAGAAUAAAAGAAAAAUCAACAAUAGAUUACAUAGGCAAAAAGAAGUUUAAAAAGGUUUUAAUCUACAGAUCAAAAUAAUCUCGAUGAAGUUGAGGACGUACCCGCUAGAUCUGGAUCUUGUUGUUUUGGUAUCUGCUCUUCGAGACUCACUUUGCUAAGAAAAAGGAGAUAACAGUAAAAUUCGUCAUUUCUAGUCUGUAGCUACAAGAAAUAGAGAGAAUGACGGUUUUACCUCAGAUUAUUGGUCUAGAUUUAACGACAUGGAGUCGAAGAAGUCUUCAUGGAGAUUGAUUUUAUGACAUUUGAGAUUUAAAGACGUUUAUCUGAAAUUUACUAGAUCUCUAUAUUUUUUUAUCUCAAGAACUUCUCCUUGAGGCAAAAUCCACAUGAAUUUUGAGUUGAUUCUACUCCUAGAGCUUCGAUGAAAAAGAUGAAUCAAUCAGGUUCUCUUCAUUUUCUUGUCUUAGC